rnacentral:misc_RNA from 1 species
AACUGAUACUACCUGCGGGAACCUGCGGAGGGAUCAUUAACAAGCCCGUGAAGUCAUAUCUCAAAAGGAUAUGAUCUCUCACCUGGCCACCCUUGUUUACCUUGACCCUGUUGCUUUGGUGGGCCCGCCAGAAAAAGGCCGCUGGGGAACUCGAUAAGUUUCCGGGCGAGUGCUCACCAAAGUCCCAUUGAACUCUUUUUGAAGUUAUGCUGUCUGAGUACUAAAAACAAAUGUUUGAUA